rnacentral:sRNA from 1 species
UGACGUUUCUUCUAGGUUGGAAUUGGACAGAGGACAACUUGGUAAUGUUUGUACCGAGGUUUUAACAAUAAGUAACUAAGGAGUUUGAGGAGAACGGAGUAGAUUUUUUAUUAACGAUGAAGGAGAACAAUAAAAUUACAGAACGAAAAACCAAAAAUGCAGAACGGAGAACCGAAAGUACAUAACGGAAAAUCAGGAAAUAUAUAAUGGAGAACCAAAAGGACAAAACGGAGAACCGAACGUACAGAAUGAGAAACCUGAAAAUACAGAACAGAGAACCGAACGUACAGAACGGAAAACCAGAAAGUAAAAGAUAAAGAGCUAGACAACAAUUCUCUCUUAAAUUCUACGAAUAAUAACUUUAAGUCUGAAUCCCUUUUCUCAAUAGUGUCUUCUACUAUUAUAGGUGACCUAAAAUUUCCUUUGUCUCUCUUGCGAUUUCUCCUUUUUAUCCCUUCGAAUAUGUCGAGUUAAGCCGAACCAAGAUGGGCCGAGCUGAUAUAUCACUGGGCCAAGCAGAAUUUUUGUUGGGCCGAGCCGUUGCCAUGAUGGGUCAUUGUUCUGAUGGGCUGUUUUUCCAUGUUAGCAACUUGUUUGACUUAAUUAAUCUUUGUUUGGGCCAAAUUAGGCAUGGAAGGCAAAGCC